rnacentral:rRNA from 1 species
UUUCUUCGGAGAGUUUGAUCCUGGCUCAGGAUGAACGCUGGCGGCGUGCCUAAUACAUGCAAGUCGAGCGAACUGA